GUGCACUAGAUACUAACCUGACUGCCAGUAGCCCCUUGCCAUUCUGUAUGUGUGCUGGGGUCUGCUAUUGUGGUUGUUGGGUCAGAAGAGUGCAAUAGAAUUUCAGGCCACGGAGAUUUAAGCUCAGAGUGUAAAGGUAUGCUCUGUGUUAUAACCCAGUGGUACAGUG
ensembl:scaRNA SCARNA1 small Cajal body-specific RNA 1